GCUACGGCAGGCUUAAACAUGCAAGUCGAGGGGUAACAGAGAAAAGCUUGCUUUUUUGCUGACGACCGGCGCACGGGUGCGUAACGCGUAUGCAAUCUACCUUUUGCUAAGGGAUAGCCCAGAGAAAUUUGGAUUAAUACCUUAUAGUAUGAUGACUUGGCAUCAAGAUAUCAUUAAAGAUUACGGCAAAAGAUGAGCAUGCGUUCUAUUAGCUAGUUGGUGUGGUAACGGCAUACCAAGGCAACGAUAGAUAGGGGUCCUGAGAGGGGGAUCCCCCACACUGGUACUGAGACACGGACCAGACUCCUACGGGAGGCAGCAGUGAGGAAUAUUGGACAAUGGAGGCAACUCUGAUCCAGCCAUGCCGCGUGCAGGAAGACUGCCCUAUGGGUUGUAAACUGCUUUUAUACAGGAUGAAAUACCUCUACGUGUAGAGAUUUGACGGUACUGUAAGAAUAAGGAUCGGCUAACUCCGUGCCAGCAGCCGCGGUAAUACGGAGGAUCCAAGCG
rnacentral:rRNA from 1 species